UAAGAUCAACUAGAGAUCUUCCGCCAGCUCAUUACACAUUUCAAAUAAAGAGUUUCUCGUUUCUGUUUAAGAACGAGGUUAAAAUAUGUGAAUUGGGCCAAUUUGAAGUUGGCGGCUAUCAAUGGAGAUUAGUAGUACAACUCCACACAGAUGGCCGGAAGAAGAAUAUAUAUUGCAAUCAUGGAAACGAUAGCAUCUCUUUGUAUUUGGCAAUAGCAAAUCAAAAUAAUCUUUUGCCUGGUUGGGAGGUUAACGUAAACUUCAAGUUCUUUGUGUUUGAUCAAAUACGCAACAACUACCAGUGUGUGCAAGAUGGGAUUGUAAGACGCUUCCAUAACUUAAAAACUGAAUGGGGAUUCGCCUAAUUACUUCCACUCGAUUUUCUCGGCGAUCCUUCGAAUGGUU